rnacentral:misc_RNA from 1 species
AUUCAGAGUGGGAUUCAAAUAUUUUAUGAUAUUUUGUCGUGGGAUUUCAAUUCCAGGACAGAUUAACCAAACAUGCUCUGCCAUGUACACGGCUAUUUUAUUUUAUACAUAAUUAGAUUUGACGAUAACUAGAGCUUGAGAUCACAGAGAUCACACAGUUUUUGAGACGACUUCAAUACCACUAAGUUAAAGUUUUUUGGCUUAUACACUGCUAUUUUAUUGUGUUGUUACAUAUAUUUAGCUACCAUAUGUAGAGAUAACUGAGCUAUGUCCAAAUUCCAAAUUAAAGGAAUCGCCUGCAGUCCCUAGAGCCUCCUCCUGUUCUCUUGCAGUGCCUAAUGCAUUAUUUCCCUUCUCACCCUGAUUACAAUAUGCAUCAAAAGAUGCGUUUAGAUCUCAUAGAAAAUGGGACCUCAGUAGCAUCAUGGACAUUCAAAUUCUGAGGGAUGUUGCUGUUGAAGUUGAAACAAUGCACAUCAUUAGGUGCUUCAAAGUAAGACGUUGAAGCCCCACCAAUAUGCCAAUUUCGAUGGUUCUGGAUUGGUGGAACUACUGAAGUGUAAGUGGAAGGAAAGGCAAGCAUAUUCAGGCUGCAUGUAUUAUUCUUGCUGGGCAUGGCAGCCACUUCAUGAACCACUGAUUUUCCUUUAGCUUCCUUGAUCAUGUCUUCAAGCAAUUUCUCCCUAACCUUAGGGCUGUAAGGACUAAUCCAGGGAUCGAGUUGUCUGAGAAUCUUAUCAUAGUUGAGCACAUCCCCACCACCACCAGAGUAGUAAGAAACUGCACCUUGUCCCUGAGUCUCCAUUUGAUCUCUCUGACAAUAAUCAAGCAAUGUCUCUGAAAAAGCUUUCCUUCUUUGUAUUAUUUCUAACCUACAUGACUAUAUAUAGCCACAUCAACAAUUUUUACUUUUCUAUCCAUGACUUGCUGCAACGAUAUUUUCAGGCUUUUUUCGCAGCACAAGAGUUGAUCGAGUGAGGGAUCUCUUAUAACUUGAGGAUCAUAGUUCCUUUGAAAAUUGCCAAGAAUUGGUAGUGUAAGAACAGAACUUAAACUGGAGGAAAUGAAGUGAAAAUAUUCCUGAUAUAAAUAAAUGAACUCACUGGAGAUUGGCAUCAAGCAUUUCUAUCUCCAUUGUGGAGUUAUGGAUUUCUAGCUCCAGGUUCUGUGAAAGCCAUAUCCAUGGAAAGUUGUAAUAUGUAAAUUAAUUAAGAAGAAAGUAAAAGAAAAAUAAAUUAAAAUUAAAAAUAUGGUUGUUCAUAUAAUAGUUAGAUAAAGGGAAUUUUCAGAAAAAUAUCACUUACUUCGAUUCUUCAAGUAUUAUUACACCCAUUGAGGAUUCCAAGAAGUUACCCGAAAGGCAUGGAAAUUCAUCCAGAGCAUAUGUAAAAUAAAACACAGUAGAAUACAUUCACACUCACACUCCAUGUAGUAGGUGUUAAAUUUGAGAUCUCACAGUAAUAAACACAACUUCAAUAUCACAAAACUAAAACUGUGCUUUCAACGUAUAUGACAAAAUGAUGAACUUAUUAUCCGGUUACUUAAGGCAUGAAACAAAGGGCCUCAAAAUAUUGCCUAAGGAUUUACUGCUAUUGCCUAUUAGUAUGUUGAAAAUAUGGAAAAUUAAUUAUUUUUUAAAAUAAUGAGAUGCAUGCAAGAGAUCCAAGUUUCCCAAUUGGAAAAAUUAAAAAAAACCAAGAUAAAAAAAAAUUAAAAAAAUAAGAGAACAGAAAUGAUAAGAAGAGGGAAACGAACUGGGUGUUGAGACUAUGCAAUUUGUUAUCGUUCCCUUUUAUGUGGGCAAGCUUCUUUAACCUUGCUAAUUUCCCCUCAAUAUUCUUCAUUUGAGGGUUUCUUUCAUGUCUCUUCACUGCAGGCAGCUUGAUAUAGCAUUCAAUCAUAUCCUCAAACCUUGGACGGCUGGAAAACUUGAUUAUGCGACCAGAAGGAGAGAAAGCAAUGAAGGCAACAUCCACAUCACAUAAGAUGGAGAUUUCAUUUGCCUUUUUGAUAAGACUGUUCCUCCUCUUUGAGAAUGUCACUUGACGUCUUAAUGGAUUCUCUAUCUUCUCCAUGGCUAUCUUCUUACCCAUCCCCCUACAAUCCUAA